AUUGAACGCUGGCGGCAUGCUUUACACAUGCAAGUCGAACGGUAACAGGCCGCAAGGUGCUGACGAGUGGCGAACGGGUGCGUAAUGCAUCGGAACGUGCCCAGUCGUGGGGGAUAACUACUCGAAAGAGUAGCUAAUACCGCAUACGAUCUAUGGAUGAAAGCGGGGGGCCGUAAGGCCUCGCGCGAUUGGAGCGGCCGAUGUCAGAUUAGGUAGUUGGUGGGGUAAAGGCUCACCAAGCCAACGAUCUGUAGCUGGUCUGAGAGGACGACCAGCCACACUGGGACUGAGACACGGCCCAGACUCCUACGGGAGGCAGCAGUGGGGAAUUUUGGACAAUGGGCGCAAGCCUGAUCCAGCAAUGCCGCGUGCAGGAAGAAGGCCUUCGGGUUGUAAACUGCUUUUGUACGGAAAGAAACGGCUCUGGUUAAUACCCGGGGCUAAUGACGGUACCGUAAGAAUAAGCACCGGCUAACUACGUG
rnacentral:rRNA from 1 species